UACAGAGGUGGCAAGCGUUGUUCGGAAUCACUGGGCAUAAAGGGCGCGUAGGCGGUCGAUCAAGUCGGUUGUGAAAGCCCUCGGCUCAACCGAGGAACUGCAUCCGAUACUGAUUGGCUAGAGUAUGGUAGGGGAGAGUGGAACUCCUGGUGGAGCGGUGAAAUGCGUAGAUAUCAGGAGGAACGCCGGUGGCGAAAGCGACUCUCUGGACCACAACUGACGCUGAGGCGCGAAAGCCAGGGGAGCAAACGGGAUUAGAUACCCCCGUA
rnacentral:rRNA from 1 species